rnacentral:rRNA from 1 species
AGCUCCAAUAACGUAUAUUAAAGUUGUUGCGGUAAAAAAGCUCGUAGUUGGAUUUCUGUUGAGGACAACCGGUCCAUACCAUGUAUGCGCAUCUGGCUUGGCCUCGGCAUCCUCUCGAUGGACGUUUCUGCGCUUAAUUGCGUGGAGCGGACUUCGGGACUUUUACUUUGAGGAAAUUGGAGUGUUCACGGCAGGCUUUCGCCAGAACAUAUUAGCAUGGAAUAAUACUAUAGGAUCUUGGUUCUAUUUUGUUGGUUUCUAGAACUAAGGUAAUGAUUAAUAGGGACAAUUGGGGGCAUUCGUAUCAACGCGUCAGAGGUGGAAUUCUUGGAUUGCGUUGCGACGAACUACUGCGAAAGCAUUUGCCAAGGAUGUUUUCA